CGCAGAGAUGCUUUGGUGCCUUCGGGAACUGUGAGACAGGUGCUGCAUGGCUGUCGUCAGCUCGUGUUGUGAAAUGUUGGGUUAAGUCCCGCAACGAGCGCAACCCUUAUCCUUUGUUGCCAGCGGUCCGGCCGGGAACUCAAAGGAGACUGCCAGUGAUAAACUGGAGGAAGGUGGGGAUGACGUCAAGUCAUCAUGGCCCUUACGACCAGGGCUACACACGUGCUACAAUGGCAUAUACAAAGAGAAGCGACC
rnacentral:rRNA from 1 species